rnacentral:rRNA from 1 species
AUUGAACGCUGGCGGCAUGCCUUACACAUGCAAGUCGAACGGUAACGCGGGGCAACCUGGCGACGAGUGGCGAACGGGUGAGUAAUGUAUCGGAACGUGCCCAGUUGUGGGGGAUAACUGCUCGAAAGAGCAGCUAAUACCGCAUACGACCUGAGGGUGAAAGCGGGGGAUCGCAAGACCUCGCGCAAUUGGAGCGGCCGAUAUCAGAUUAGGUAGUUGGUGGGGUAAAGGCUCACCAAGCCAACGAUCUGUAGCUGGUCUGAGAGGACGACCAGCAACAAUGGGACUGGGACACGGCCCAGACUCCUACGGGAGGCAGCAGUGGGGAAUUUUGGACAAUGGACGCAAGUCUGAUCCAGCCAUGCCGCGUGCGGGAAGAAGGCCUUCGGGUUGUAAACCGCUUUUGUCAGGGAAGAAACGCUCUGGGUUAAUACCUCGGGGUAAUGACGGUACCUGAAGAAUAAGCACCGGCUAACUACGUGCCAGCAGCCGCGGUAAUAC